CGUAGGCGCAAGCGUUGUCCGGAAUUAUUGGGCGUAAAGAGCUCGUAGGCGGUUUGUCGCGUCUGCUGUGAAAGCCCGGGGCUUAACCCCGGGUGUGCAGUGGGUACGGGGCAGACUUGAGUGCAGUAGGGGAGGACUGGAAUUCCUGGUGUAGCGGUGAAAUAGCGCAGAUAUCAGGAGGAACACCGAUGGCGAAGGCAGGUCUCUGGGCGUGUUACUGACGCUGAGGAGCGAAAGCAUGGGGAGCGAACAGGAUU
rnacentral:rRNA from 1 species